GAGGGGCCUCUGGCUGAGUAAGUCAUGGCAGGGAACCACGAAAAGCCAGCCAGAACUGCAAGGCUUGAAUACUCCAACCUGGGCCAGUAGCAUGUCGUUACCGCCCAGGAAAACCAUGAAGCGAGCAGAGCGAGCGGAGCAAUGGAGAGGGGGCCAUGGCAACUGUGGGACAAUAGAAGCCUGCGUGGGAAGGAGAACGAGCCACGGAGGACGUCGCAGCUACUGUCAUUCGUGUUGGACCGGUGAUUUCACCUACAGUAAUAGACUUGCAGGGGGGAUGUUUUAGUUUGCUAGUUUAUUUAUGAGACACUAUGGGACUCUAGGCACUGGAGUUGUCUUUUAUUGGUUGCUGUUUUAUGGUAAUAGACCUUUUGAUAUAUAUUUCUGGUUGUGGUUUUAACUCUGCUCACCCCUGAUUUUAAAAGGAACUUGUUUAGCCCUUUUUAUGGAGUCCUAGGCUCUGCUAACUUCUAGGUGAUGUUGUUGACAUCUUAAAGUAUCUUUCCCACAUUGUCAAUAUUUAUAUUCUGGAAUUUUUAAAUCAAAUAGGCUACUCAAUGCAUUAUUUGGAAUGGUGGCCCAGCUACAUAUGCACAAGUGAUUUAAAUGAAUUUGUGAUAUUCAUCAAUUUUCUUAUAUUUGCACUUUUCCCUAUGAUAUGAAAAAAAUUUACAAGUGGUCUAGACCUGUGGUAUGAGUCAUGUACAGACAGUCUGCCUUUUUUUCCUGUUGGAAAACGCUUGUUUGACUUAUAAUGAAUUAUAAUGCCAUAACCUGAAUGAA